CUACUCUUACGGGAGGCAGCACUAGGGAAUCUUCCGCAAGGGACGAAACUCUGACGGAGCACCGCCGCGUGAGUGAAGAAGGUUUUCGGAUCGUAAAACUCUGUUGUCAGAGAAGAACAAGUAGGAGAGUAACUGCUCCAGCCUGACGG
rnacentral:rRNA from 1 species